rnacentral:rRNA from 1 species
CUACGUGCCAGCAGCCGCGGUAAUACGUAAGGGGCGAGCGUUGUUCGGAAUUAUUGGGCGUAAAGGGCAUGUAGGCGGUUAUGUAAGCCUGAUGUGAAAUCUACGAGCUUAACUCGUAAACUGCAUUGGGUACUGCGUGACUUGAAUCAUAGAGGGGGAACUGGAAUUCCAAGUGUAGGGGUGGAAUCUGUAGAUAUUUGGAAGAACACCGGUGGCGAAGGCGGGUUUCUAGCUAAUGAUUGACGCUGAUAUGCGAAGGUGCGGGGAGCAAACAGGAUUAGAUACCCUGGUAGUCCGCACAGUAAACUAUGUACACUAGGUGUCGGGGUAGAACUCGGUGCUGGAAGCAAACGCGAUAAGUGUACCGCCUGGGGAGUAUGCCCGCAAGGGUGAAACUCAAAGGAAUUGACGGGGGCCCACACAAGCGGUGGAGCAUGUGGUUUAAUUCGAUGAUACGCGAGGAACCUUACCUGGGUUUGACAUCAAGAGGGAUACUAUAGAGAUAUGGUAG